rnacentral:rRNA from 1 species
AUUGAACGCUGGCGGCAUGCUUUACACAUGCAAGUCGAACGGUAACAGGGAGCUUGCUCCGCUGACGAGUGGCGAACGGGUGAGUAAUGCGUCGGAACGUGCCGAGUAGUGGGGGAUAACGCAUCGAAAGGUGUGCUAAUACCGCAUACGAACUGAGGUUGAAAGUGGGGGACCUUCGGGCCUCACGCUAUUCGAGCGGCCGACGUCUGAUUAGCUAGUUGGUGAGGUAAAGGCUCACCAAGGCGACGAUCAGUAGCGGGUCUGAGAGGAUGAUCCGCCACACUGGGACUGAGACACGGCCCAGACUCCUACGGGAGGCAGCAGUGGGGAAUUUUGGACAAUGGGCGCAAGCCUGAUCCAGCCAUGCCGCGUGUCUGAAGAAGGCCUUCGGGUUGCAAAGGACUUUUGUCCGGGAGCAAAUGCUGGUGGCUAACAUCCACCGGAGCUGAGAGUGCCGGAAGAAUAAGCACCGGCUAACUACGUGCCAGCAGCCGCGGUAACAC